CCCAGAGCCCACGGUGAAGAUGGCCUGCGGGAGCGUGACAGUGGUGGUGGCGGCAGCAACCUCGGGCCCCAUGGCGAAGGUGGCUGGUGGGAGCGGGACCCUGGUAGCCCCGGGCCCCAUGGCAAAGGUGGACGCUGGGAGAGUGGUGGGUUUGGGUCCUGUGGCAAAGGAGGCUGACGGGAGCACAGCGGAGACAACAAUGAAGGUGGCUGGUGGGAUGUUGACGGUGGCGACGACAGCAGCAACCUAAGGCGGAGGUGGCCGGUGGGAGCACAGCGACCUCAGGCCCCGUGGCGAUGUCGGUGGCCUCAAGCUCCGGAGCAUCGGGUCCCACAGUGAAGGUGGCCAAUGAGAUCAUUCAGUCUCCCUCAUUUGGGUCACGGGCGGCCACCCCACUGCCAAAAGACAACAGUGGGAAUCUGUAUCUACAGUGGAGCCCAACAGCAGCAACACGUUGGCUUUCAAGGGUUCUGUGGUUUCAAUGGCAACCACAAAGAGGCACAACAACAACGUCCCUGUGUGUGGGACUCCAGAAGCCAAGCUCCUCAAAUUGCCCUGGUCUGAUGACAACCAUAGUCCAGCCCUUUUGGAAGCCUUCAAGGCUGUGGUAGCAGCUGGUGGGAGUGGCUGGCUGGACCCAGUGGCAGUGGCUGUAGUGAAAACAGAACUGGAUGUGGGCUGUUCCUCUGAGGAGAACCUAUGAAGCGGGAGGAGAGAGACAAGUGGCAAGAGCAGUGAGCCACAGCAACUCACCUGGACCCCCACCUUACUUGUGACAGAACGCAAGAGAAAGAAGAAGCCCAUUAGCCAGAAAUGCACAACCUUGGUGAACUUUGUACCAUCCACUGAUAGGAUAAAGGAACCUAAGCCCAACCCCCUGGGAUCAGAGGAAUGAGCAGAGGCCUACAAUAUGGAGCCCAUGUUGUCAUUUUUCCCACCAGAGUCCCCCAUUAGAAGCAUGGUACCAGGUGGUGAUAACUUUAUGCAAGCUGAACCAAAGAAAAUAUGGAUUUGCGGCCAUUCUGUGAUUUUGGUGACAAAGAGGAGGACAAGCACUCACCCACAUGGGCUGCAGCUGGGUUUCCCAAGUUCGAGUGCAUUUUUGUAUUGGCAUGGCAUUCAGGCAAUGCUGUGGGAUCAGCUCUUGCUUCUUCUUCAUGAAAUUUAUCUCAGGUCUUUUCCAUCAAUUAUAGUAAUUCACCUUGGGGAAAAUGAUCUUGUGCAACACACCAGUAUGUCACUCAUCGUCAAAAUGAAAAAUGACUUGGGCAUCCUUAGAAGGGCCUUCCCUGAUGCCCAUAUAAUUUGGUCUUUGCUGUUGCCAAGGCAUUUUUGGAAAGGAGCCAAAAAAACAGUGAAUAUGAAAAGGCACGGAAGGGGAUUAACAGGGAAAUAUCCUAUUAUUGCAGUGAAAAUGGCAUAAUGUUUUUGAGACACGAUUUAAUCACUUACGAUAAGCCAAAUAUGUUCCUGCCUGAUGUAGAUGAGCUGUCUGAUGUAGGAGCUGAUGUUUUUACAGCAGAUUUAAAAGGGGCCCUACGUUCCUGCCUGGGCUUUGGUAAAGGCUAAUCUGCUUUUGUCUGGGGAAAUGAAUUUUUCAGGACUGUUCCAUGACAUCCCAUCUGUGCACGGGAGUCUAGGUUUUGCAGGGCAGGGAGGGAGAUGGUCAUACCAGUUGAAAGUUGAAGCUUCCUUGCUUGAAACUGACAGGAAGGAGCAUUUUGCAGUUUCGUGCACAUCCCAUUGUCCUUGGCAAGUUCUAGAUGUGGCAGAAGUUGAGAUGGGUUUGGGUUGCCCACCCAUGGAGUUUCACAGGUCUAUGAGGUCUGUGCACAAAAGACUAGUAACUGGACAGAUACAUUAACUCACUCAUGAGGUUAUGUUCAUUGUGUUAAUUGUAUUGUUCGUUUUGAUCCCUCAUAGCAGUAUUGUUGUAGACAAUAAAAUGUAAUUUAGGAUUAAUGAGUGUCAGAUGACUCGUUCACAUGUUUCCAGCUUAAAUUAGAUGUGUGUGGAAUAAACAUUUUUGUUUAUUAGAGGUGUGUUUAUACACACGUGCACGCACCAUCAGUUGCUGGCUUCCUCACCAUCAGUUGCUCUGCAAUCUGUCCUCAAAUAGCACAUUAAUUUCUGGCUAUACUCAAGGACUCUACCUUCCAGCACACUACUGGCUUGGAUGCUGACCUGCAAACAAGUCCUCUACCUCUUUGUGCCUCAUCUUACCAUUUCGUAGUCCCAUUUCAAAUAUACCCAUUUACCUACCUCAAGGGGUAUGUUAAAGAUAUUAAGUGCUCAGUAGCUAGGGAUUAUAAAUUUUUUUUUGUACUUCUAUAUAAGAACACAUAACUAGUGGGAAUUUUCUCAUGAGGGUCCAGUGAGAAACUUUUUCUUGUUUUUGAGAUCAUUUAUAUGAACAGCGAUCAAAGAGCUGACUGUUGAAAUGCCAUCUAAUUCUUUCCCUAUGUUUGUGUUAAGCCUACAAGUCAUCGCUUAGAGGGAUCGGAAUAAUGCUGUUGAUGGUAUACUGGCCAAAACACGUGUAUAUUAUGUUUAUUAAGUGGCUUAUACUGAGAGGUCAUUAGACUGGGAAUGGCAAUAAUUCCAUGACUUCCUAUCUUUGCAGGGAAUCUGGAAUGAGGGUAAAAGGGGGUUGGAAUACCAUAAGCUUAAUUGCCAAAAAUGGGCAAGAAGAAAAGUUGUCAGUUACCUGUGCAUCUUUUGGAAGACGUGAGGUGGAAAAUCUGCGCCUCUCUAAGGCAAGGCUGUAAUAAUACCAGAAUCUCCCAAGAGUGGAGAAAUUGGCCGAUGACCUCUUUCAAUUGGCAAUACAUAGUUGUUGAGCAUUUUUUUUAGCAGGAACAUAUUUGUAGUGUGAACAACGCUGUACCCUUUUGUACGUUAAUAAAGUUAUGAUUUUUGUGUUCUCUUCAAAGAUGUGAUAUAUUUGUAUGCCUUGGUGAAUAGCAGAACCUUGCAUGCAUUUUGCUUUGCAUUGCAACCCGAAAGUUAACAUGGAGGGGAGAGCUGUUCCUAUUGUGGGGGACUGUUAAGUAAAAUUCAUUACUACUUCAUAAAGAUUUUCAUAAAGGUUUUCAGGUAGGACUGACACAUGCUUACAAAUUUUUUUUUCACCCCAUUUGGUUUCUAUAAUGGCACUGGCACAAUGCCACUCUUGAUGUCUGUCAGUGACACUCAGAAAUGAAAAUAUAAUUAAAAUUUAAUUUGUCGAACAACUUUAAUUUUUCUUGGUAUGAAGUGAAACUUCAGAGUAGUGCUGAGUAAAACUUUUAAUAUAGCAAUUAGACUGCCAGUCUUUUCCCUAUGCCUGUGCCCGGUAUCUCUAUGAAUAAGGCUUUAUAGGCCUAAAUGUCAGUGCUCCAUAGUGAUUAAUAUUGUAGUGAAAACAAUUACACGGUAUUUCUUUGUAAAUGCUGUGGUAGCCUUUCACUUAUUAGGUUGUACCAGCCUCUGUUUUUGAUCUAGUCUUGGCUAGAACUUGCAUGUGGUACUGAGGUACUACAAUCAUUUUAAUAUACAUACCUAGAGAAAUGGGGUUCUCAAGGAGUUAACCCUUUAUUCCUCUGCUCCUUUUUCAAACUAGCAUGAUCAGACCAUUCCCCUUAAAGGGUAGAUCGUUUGUAAUAAAUACUAAUGAAUGAUGGUCUGGCUGUCAGGUGGCAUUAACAAAUUAUUUUAUUAUAUUGUUGCCUUCUCUUUUGUCCCUCCCCAAAGGCCAAGCAGAGAAUUUAAAAUAAAAAAUUGAGGGCAGUGUGAUACUUGUCUCACUCUGAUACAAGUGAUAUAAACGUCAUUUUACUUUAAUGGAGUUACUCCUGACUUGCACAGAUUUGAAAGGGCAAUCAGGCUUAGAGAUGCUGUUAGGUCAUGUAGUUUGACCUGCUGUGUCUAGGUGACAGUUAUGACAUCUCAAUAAUACAAUUGAUCCUCUAGCACAGGGAACAAAGGCCAGUGGUGGCUUCAACUUUCCAGCUCUGGUCUCUGCCCAUGGUUACGUUGUCAUUGGUUUGUGUGUAUUUAACCUUUUAAAUGGAACUUUCAUACGCAAUGUAUUUCCAUUCUGAAUAUUUAACGGAAGACUGAUUCCCUAGAAGUAUUAGCUACUUACAAAACAUAUGUGGGGAAAAGGACAGUGUUACUGAUUUAGGCCAGAAUUUUCAAACUGGGUGCCUAAAUUUAGGUUCCUAAAUAAGAGGCUUGCCCCCACUUUUUUGCUGUUGUAGAGCACUGAACCUUGUAAAAUUACCUAUAUUAAUGAACUUCUAUGGAGUUAAUAACAUUAGCCUUUGGUAAGAUGCAGUAAGUGUGUUACAGCUUCGUAAGAAGUGGUAUGCAAAUAAAAUUUAAUUCUUUUGGUUUAGACAGAGUAAAAUAACAAGUUUGUGUUACUCUUAUGAACUGCUGUAUUCUUUUCUAUUUAUGAACAAGUCUUUGUCAUCUUAUCUGAUAAGAUGCACUUUCCCAUGGAUAUAUAGCAUAAAAUUUUUGUUGAAUGCUUGCAUUUACUUAGGAAAGUCUAGAAUAUAGUUUAGAAAAUCUGUAAUAAUACUUAACCUUACAUGGAGCUUUUUAUCUGUAGGUUUCAAAGUACUUUGCAUAGAUGGGUAAGUAUCAAUAAUAUAUAGAGAAGGGAAAACUGGAACAUCAUUAUUAGCGCAUAUAUGUGUAUGCUGUAUGUAUCACUUCUAUUUGAUUGUUGCUGACAAUUUAAUAGCUUGAUCUUCAAAGACAAUAUGCAAAGAAAUAUAUCCAGAUAUUUCUAGUUUUCUGGAAACAACAUAGGGAAUCCAAGUUGUCCCAUAGUCUUGUCUAUGCAACGAUUACUUGUAGGAUACUGAAAUGGGUAUGCCAUGCCCUCGGUGAGGACCUGUGACAUUAUCCAGGGUACAAUCUGGACAGAUGGACAGCUGUAUUCUCUCAGAUCUCCAACCUGGGGUGUGUUUUACACUGCUGUUGCUGCCAUGAGCAUAGAGAAAUGGAGGAGAGAGGUAAUUUGUGGUGUGUGUGUGUGUGUUUUCCCUAUUCUUGUACCUUUCUCCCCUCCUUGAAGGUCAUCUCCAGCUGGGAUUCAGGGGGCAUCCAGUCUGUUUACACGGAACUCCCAGCUGUUUUCCAUUGCAUGUAAAUUUCUCACACCUUUUUUCCUGCCAAAGAAUGGUCAUUUAACUAGGUGAUGAUCUACUUGAUUUUAUUGGCUUAAGCCACCUGGCUUAGUUGCUGGUUUGUCUUUUGUUUCUGAGGAACUGGUUUGUGCCUGCUUUUCUAAACUUGGUGCAUUUUACAGCAAUGUUAUACAGUAGAAUCUUAUAACUUUACAUACAAUGUUGAGACACAUAUUUUACCAGGACAAUAAUGUCCAGCAGAUUGAGUUGUCAAAUGAUACCUCACAAGGUAUACUUUGUACAAAAUACAUCAUGGUCUUUGUAAAAAGAUUUCCAUAGGGUUAUAGCCUGUCACAGGGUUAGUGCAUGCAUAGGACCUGCUCCAAAGCCCACUGAAGUUAGUGGAGUUUGACUUCAGUGGGCUUUGGAUCAGGCCCACAAUCAGGUAAAUCUGUUUUGAGAUGGCCAUUGGCUAAACUGUUUUUUUUUUUUUUCCUCUUAUGUCAAUUUAGUCUGUGAUAACCUUGGAAAGUGCUUGGACUGACAGCUUUGGAAACAGACCUGUUCACAGAAAGGUGCAUCUGGAGCAGUGCAAGAUGUACCAUGCCAUCCCCAGUAACAUAUCUUGUUGGACGGCAUACUGGAAUGAGAACUGGACAGAUGUCAGCCAGGACAAUAGAGGGCUGCAACUUUAUUUUGAUGUUCACAGUUAUAAAAUGUACAUAUCCCUGACCUCAGAAUAACUGUGCUAUACUAUAAA